GAUGAACGCUGGCGGCGUGCCUAAUACAUGCAAGUCGAGCGAACGGACGAGAAGCUUGCUUCUCUGAUGUUAGCGGCGGACGGGUGAGUAACACGUGGAUAACCUACCUAUAAGACUGGGAUAACUUCGGGAAACCGUAGCUAAUACCGGAUAAUAUUUUGAACCGCAUGGUUCAAAAGUGAAAGACGGUCUUGCUGUCACUUAUAGAUGGAUCCUCGCUGCAUUAGCUAGUUGGUAAGGUAACGGCUUACCAAGGCAACGAUGCAUAGCCGACCUGAGAGGGUGAUCGGCCACACUGGAACUGAGACACGGUCAAGACUCCUACGGGAGGCAGCAGUAGGGAAUCUUCCGCAAUGGGCGAAAGCCUGACGGAGCAACGCCGCGUGAGUGAUGAAGGUCUUCGGAUCGUAAAACUCUGUUAUUAGGGAAGAACAUAUGUGUAAGUAACUGUGCACAUCUUGACGGUACCUAAUCAGAAAGCCACGGCUAACUACGUG
rnacentral:rRNA from 1 species